ACGCUGGCGGCGUGCUUAACACAUGCAAGUCGAACGGAAAGGCCCUGCUUUUGUGGGGUGCUCGAGUGGCGAACGGGUGAGUAACACGUGAGUAACCUGCCCUUGACUUUGGGAUAACUUCAGGAAACUGGGGCUAAUACCGGAUAGGAGCUCCUGCUGCAUGGUGGGGGUUGGAAAGUUUCGGCGGUUGGGGAUGGACUCGCGGCUUAUCAGCUUGUUGGUGGGGUAGUGGCUUACCAAGGCUUUGACGGGUAGCCGGCCUGAGAGGGUGACCGGCCACAUUGGGACUGAGAUACGGCCCAGACUCCUACGGGAGGCAGCAGUGGGGAAUAUUGCACAAUGGGCGGAAGCCUGAUGCAGCAACGCCGCGUGCGGGAUGACGGCCUUCGGGUUGUAAACCGCUUUCGCCUGUGACGAAGCGUGAGUGACGGUAAUGGGUAAAGAAGCACCGGCUAACUACGUGCCAGCAGCCGCGGUGAUACGUAGGGUGCGAGCGUUGUCCGGAUUUAUUGGGCGUAAAGGGCUCGUAGGUGGUUGAUCGCGUCGGAAGUGUAAUCUUGGGGCUUAACCCUGAGCGUGCUUUCGAUACGGGUUGACUUGAGGAAGGUAGGGGAGAAUGGAAUUCCUGGUGGAGCGGUGGAAUGCGCAGAUAUCAGGAGGAACACCAGUGGCGAAGGCGGUUCUCUGGGCCUUUCCUGACGCUGAGGAGCGAAAGCGUGGGGAGCGAACAGGCUUAGAUACCCUGGUAGUCCACGCUGUAAACGGUGGGUACUAGGUGUGGGGUCCAUUCCACGGGUUCCGUGCCGUAGCUAACGCUUUAAGUACCCCGCCUGGGGGAGUACGGCCGCAAGGCUAAAACUCAAAGGAAUUGACGGGGCCCCGCACAAGCGGCGGAGCAUGCGGAUUAAUUCGAUGCAACGCGUAGAACCUUACCUGGGUUUGACAUGGAUCGGGAGUGCUCAGAGAUGGGUGUGCCUCUUUUGGGGUCGGUUCACAGGUGGUGCAUGGCUGUCGUCAGCUCGUGUCGUGAGAUGUUGGGUUAAGUCCCGCAACGAGCGCAACCCUUGUUCACUGUUGCCAGCACGUUAUGGUGGGGACUCAGUGGAGACCGCCGGGGUCAACUCGGAGGAAGGUGGGGAUGACGUCAAGUCAUCAUGCCCCUUAUGUCCAGGGCUUCACGCAUGCUACAAUGGCUGGUACAGAGAGUGGCGAGCCUGUGAGGGUGAGCGAAUCUCGGAAAGCCGGUCUCAGUUCGGAUUGGGGUCUGCAACUCGACCUCAUGAAGUCGGAGUCGCUAGUAAUCGCAGAUCAGCAACGCUGCGGUGAAUACGUUCCCGGGGCUUGUACACACCGCCCGUCAAGUCAUGAAAGUUGGUAACACCCGAAGCCGGUGGCCUAACCGUUGUGGGGGAGCCGUCGAAGGUGGGACUGGUGAUUAGG
rnacentral:rRNA from 1 species